UCUCCGUUGGUGAACCAGCGGAGGGAUCAUUACUGGAAUCGCAAGAUCCCACAACCCUGUGAACCUACCGAAACGUUGCCUCGGCGGGUGCCCGGCCUCUGCGCCGGGCGCUGCGCCCGCCGGCGGCCCCCUACUCUGUCUCUGCAGCGUGGCAUCUCAGAGUCCCAGAAAACAAGUCAAAACUUUCAACAACGGAUCUCUUGGCUCUAGCAUCAUGAAGAACGCAGC
rnacentral:misc_RNA from 1 species